UUAUAAUCAAUUGCUUUUAAAAUUAAAAUCAGUUCAAUUACAUAAUUUCAAUAGCAUAUUCUAUUCGUAUUACAUGUUUCAGUAUAACUAAAGUUAUUUUCUAAAAAUCGCCAAAAGGUACCCAGGUGACUUUACCCUAGUCUGCACUGGUGUAAAUGUGUUCCCACAGUGUAUGACCAAUUAUGGUGAUUUUACCCACUCUCUAUUGUGAAUGUGUUUCCAUGGUGUAUGACCAGAUUAUCAAAGGUCUUUGGAACCCACUCUCGUACACACAUAGGCUUUGGACCGUGUACUAGGGUGAUUAGCUUUUGGAGCAGCUCUACGUACAUAUGACCAGAUUAUUAGAUGUGAAUGACUUUGCCUUGUUCAUCGAGAUUACUCUGUACAUGAGUAAGGCUAUUCACUGAGUACCUUUUUGGUUUGAUUUUCAGUAAUAUACAACUUAUCAGAUUUCAGACUACAGAAAUUAGCUUAUUCAGUUUGUAGAGUAAUGAUUUCAGCUUAUAAUACUGUAUAAGGAUAUUUUCACUUAUAUUUACUGAUAUCAGAUUAUUUAUAUUCAUUAUAAUUUACAGUUUCUUAUCUAGAAUGAAAAACAAAGAAUUUUACGAUGCAUUCAUGUUUGGUUUUAAAAGUGUUACCAAAUUUCAGAAUUUUUCAAAAUUUAAUAGAGUAAGAAUUUUCAGAAAAUAUGCAUAAAAGAAAAAGUAUAUUUAUUUGCAAAUUAUCCACUCACUGAGCUAUAAGUUUAUAUAUCUUUUCACAUUUUUAUUUAACAGAUAGCAGCCGAGUUGAGUAGAUUUGGAGCCUGUCGAUCCACCAAAUUGAGCCACGCGCCAUAAGUUGUAUGGCCUACGUUAUUAGAUUACACAGUACAUGUUUCUUGUGGGUUACAUGUAGUUUAGGUCAGAAAAGGUCAUCAUAGGCUGACUACAUAUUUGAUAUCUUUAGUACAUUUGAGGAGUUUUGGUUGUAGAGCAAAGUAAAUAUCGAUUUGUCAGUAUUUUAUUUUUGAAUAGUUAGUAUUUUGAGAUACUGGAGUAUCAUAUUUUACAUUAUAUGAACGGACUUGAGAAAAUUGGGUGUUGAUUAGGUGGUUUUAAUCCAUAUUUUAGAGGUGACCCUAUCAAAAUUCUUUUAAAAUAUUUCACAGUCAAAGCAAGUCAACGUUGCAUUGGUAGUGGGUCCGGCAUUUAGCUGGAAUCUACCAUUGGCACACAACACGUGUCGAAUCAAAGGUGAUUCGGGAUGGGUUGUGUCAGAAGUAGCUAAUAUGCUGUUUAUUUGUUUCAUCUUUGGCCGAUGUGUAAAUAAAGAUGUGAGGCUUCUCAAUGAUAUUAGAUAUAUCCUUUAUGCAUACGGACAUUUCAUAAAAAAUUUUUGCGCUUAGAGUUUCCUUGUACCUUCACAUGUCCUCUGUUUUAUGGAAGAUUGGCCAGAAAAUGCAUUCUCCAUGCACACCUUUCAGAAGUUAAGAGCACACGGAGUUGUAAGUGGAAGAACCAAUACUUCCCAGCAGAUGAGGAAGCUAAAUUCUUUUAAAAGCCUUUCUUUCAUAGACUCACUUCAUUUAUGGCGUCUUGCUCUCUUCUUCUCUUACACAUCGUGGUAAAAGUCUAUUUCUUUUCCACUUUUAGUAGAGACUUUUUUCAAAUCCAAAGAAAUUCCGGGGCAUAACUCUUUUAUCUUUCACUAAUAUUAGUAUAUUUCCUCAACAACGCACAGCUCUCUUGUGCAAUCACCGUGGUUUCUCUUAACUUAAUUUCUCAAUCUCCAUUCAUUAGUAAGGUUGCAGAAAUCACCCAAUGGCUCACAUCAACAACCUCCUAUGAGACGUCAAUGGAGUUUGCAUGUUGUGCUAAAAUAAAUCAAUAGAUGGUGAGACUCUCAUGUGCAAGACGUGUGUCAUUCCCCUAGCUUUGAUACCAUAUUAAGAAUAAGUUCAGCAUUUUUAUAAGCAAUUGCUCAAGUCCUGUAUGUUAUUUAUUUGUCUUUAAUUGAUGCACAAUUAAAUACCUGAGGUUUUUGAAGGACAUGAGACAUUAUUUGUGCACGAUGGGAAUUUCAUAAUAUUCUUUUGUGCUGAAUUGUCCUAGUAUCUCCACAAGUUUGUUUAAAGAGAUUGUCCAGCAAAGGACUAUCUAUGCUCAUCUUGCAGAAAUUAUGAGCCAUGGAUUUGUAAAUAGAAGAACCAUCACUUAGUUCUUUCAAAAGCAUUCCUUUCACGGGCUCGUUUUGUUUUUGGUGUCUUGCUCUCUUUGUGCUCUUACCUUCAUCUUCAUAAAAUAUCUGGUACUGGUGGAGGCUUUUCUCCAAUUCCAAUGACUCCUUUCAAUAAAAUUCGUAGCAUGCUUUAUUCCUCAUCAAUAGGCAGUUCUCUUGGGCAAUCACAAUGAUUUAAUUUUACUUUUUUUCUCAGUUAGUUGGGGUGCAGCAAUCACCCAAUGGCCCAUGUAAGCAAUCUCCCUUGCAAUACCGGUGAAAUCCACAUGGUGUUCAAGGACAAGUCAAUAGAAUGGCGAGAAGCAUGGUGUUCGAGAACAAGUCAAUAGAAUGACAAGACAUGUGCAAAUCGUAUGUCACUCAAUGGGUAUUGAAACCAUAUUAAGAAUUUGGAUUUCAUAUUAAAACAUCGACCUUUUCAAGAGAGGUAGUCCAAGCAUUUAUA
rnacentral:lncRNA from 1 species